CUGUGAGAGUGGGAGAAUCCCCGCCUGCUCCUGCUCUGGAAGGGCAGGUUGGAACAUGACGAUUGGAAUUCACAGGGAAUGGGAUUAAUGUCUCUGCAUAAUCAGGAUUCGCAGUACCCUGAUUGCUCCUAUCUGAU